AUCUUCGGCAAUGGACGAAAGUCUGACCGAGCAAUGCCGCGUGAGUGAGGAAGGCCUUCGGGUCGUAAAGCUCUGUUGCCAGGGAAGAACGCCAAGGAGAGUAACUGCUCUUUGGGUGACGGUACCUGAGAAGAAAGCCCCGGCUAACUACGUGCCAGCAGCCGCGGUAAUACGUAGGGGGCAAGCGUUGUCCGGAAUUAUUGGGCGUAAAGCGCGCGCAGGCGGCUAUUUAAGUCUUAUGUAUAACUCCAAGGCUCAACCUUGGAUCGCAUGGGAAACUGGGUGGCUUGAGUGUAGGAGAGGAAAGUGGAAUUCCACGUGUAGCGGUGAAAUGCGUAGAGAUGUGGAGGAACACCAGUGGCGAAGGCGACUUUCUGGCCUAUAACUGACGCUGAGGCGCGAAAGCGUGGGGAGCAAACAGG
rnacentral:rRNA from 1 species